UACGGAGGGGGCUAGCGUUGUUCGGAAUUACUGGGCGUAAAGCGCACGUAGGCGGACUGUUAAGUCGGGGGUGAAAUCCCGGGGCUCAACCCCGGAAUGGCCUUCGAUACUGGCGGUCUUGAGGUCUGGAGAGGUGAGUGGAAUUCCGAGUGUAGAGGUGAAAUUCGUAGAGAUUCGGAGGAACACCAGUGGCGAAGGCGGCUCACUGGCCAGAUUCUGACGCUGAGGUGCGAAAGAGUGGGGAGCAAACAGG
rnacentral:rRNA from 1 species